ACCUUACUAUAACCUUGUCGGUUUAGUUUGGACCAUCCAAACUCAAACCCCUCAAAAUCACUCUCACCCCGUAAAACCCCAAACCCAUCCCUCAUUCUCUCUCCCCGUGUUCCCUCUCAAACCCCAACCUGUGGAAAUCGAAAACCCAGACCAUCGCCGGCAUUUCUCCAAGGCUCGCCGGAGUUUCCCUUUGCUGUCUACGCUUCCCGUACUUUUCUUUUCCUCUUCGCUGUUGUGCGUGCGGUGCUGCUCGCGAGCCACCGCGGUGUUGUUGUCCCUCUGUUUCUCUCUCCUCCCUUGAAAAAUUCUCUCGUCACUCUGUGGUUGUUCGUGGUCGGUGUUGCCACGGUUGAUGCUAUUGCUCGCCGGAGAAAGGUGAUGGUCGAGGAGUUGCUGUUGUUGCUGCGUUGUUGCUGCGUUGUUGCUGAUGCUACGUCGUUGUCCUGUUCUGUUGUCGUCUGUUGUUUGUAGUGGUGCGGUUGUUGUUGCUGCUUUUGGUUUAAUUUUCGGUGCGUUGCCGCCAUAGAUGGUGGUUGACAGAGGUACAUAAUCGUAUCGGGAGUCAAAUAAAAGGGAAGUGGCCUUUGAUGAAUUAAUGGACUAUACCCAUUAAUGUAAAUAAGCAAAAAGAAGAAAGAGACAAAGAAACCUACUUUUUUUUGGACCAAAAUCUCACGCAGCAUCAAGAAGAAGAAUAAGAAUGUGGGCUUUCAUUCAAUCCACAAUACAACAAACAAAGGAAAGAAGGAGAGCAGAACAUAAAUAAAAAGAUUACACGCACAAAGGAGGAAGAAUAUGAGUGAUGGGUUUUUCAAAAAAAACCCAUACAGCAGCAAUAAUAAAAGGGGCAGCAGCGAAAUACGAAGGAGUGUUUAUGCCAAAUUCUGAUCAGGCAGAACUUAGCUGAGGAUCUACAACUAAUGCAAAUGCAGCUAGAAAUGACAAGAGAAACUAGCUACGAAAUUAAAGAAGAUGCAAAGAAGAGACAAAGACACCAAGAAAUGGUGACGCGGAAAACCCCAAGAAAAAGGUAAAAACCGCGGGUGGAAUUGAGUCCACCAAUCCACUAUAUGAGAAGAUUACAACUUACAGCUAGCAACUAGCAGCUUGUACUAGAUACACUUAUGAAUAUUGUAAAUGUAGAAAAGAGAGUAUGAAAGUAAGAGCAAUGUAAAGACUUCUUUUUUACAGAAUGUUUUUCCUUCUAUUUAUACUAAUACAUUUUUAUAACGUUAUUCCUCCAUUAGAACGUUGCACAACAAACUCUCCUAAGAAGGUGUCACGAUCCCUAGAAUCAAGGGAGAUCUUCUCUUCUGCUGGCUAACCACUUCUUCCUAUUUCUUUGGUACAACGUCAUUACUUGACUUGGUCUUGGUUAGCAUCCAAUGUUCUUUCAACCGGGUUAUUUUGCACUCUUCAUAUCUGCUUGUUGUAGCUGCUUCCUGAUGCUCUCUAGCUGUGACAAACGCGUUACCUGCAAGUUUCAGCUUAGGAAAAUUUUAAGACAUAACAAUUGCCCCUAACUUGUGAUGCCAACCUAGGCGCAACUAAGUUAAAAUUGCAAGUUACCGAGUCAAAACAAAACAAUUGUUAGCAAAAAGAUUUAUCUCAGAAUUAAGAUAAGCUUAUACUCUCUCAGAAGAUUUUUUAUCUUUUUCCCCGAGGAAUUAAAACGUUUGAUGAUAAAAAAAAAAUUUCUUAAGAGAUAAACUUCUUUAACCGCUAAAAAGAUACUUUUCUUGGGAAAAGAUAAACUCAUCAGGUAAUUGAUUACUUAUCAGCAGCUAAAAGAUAAAUUUUACGCAACAUUUAAUAUCUAUCCGUUGGCCUAGGCUACCGUUGAACUACUAGUAUUUAAGGAUCUUUUAACCCUUCCUGAAACUUCACUUUACUCUUUUGCGAACUGCUCUUCUUCUCAGGUAAAACUUCUUUUCUUCUUUCUUUCGUUUGCUUCCUCAGGAAUUUUUAGAUCUUUUCUUUCUCUCUAAUGGGUAGAGCAAUAGAUUAUGUUGCUUCGUCUGUCACUAAGCGAGACAUAGAGGUGCUCAAAGUUCUGGGGAGUUUCCCUGAAAACGCUCAGAUCAUCCUCCCCACUCCCACAUGCAGGCCUGAAACCUGCCCAGAGGAUUACAUAUGCUACUAUGAGCAUCCUUUCUACCUAGGGUAUAACUAGGAAUUUUCCCCCCUUACUAGGUCUUUUAUGGAGGUCCUGCACCUAUCCCCUGGCCAGCUGAUGCCAGCUUUUUGGAAAACCUGCUCGACUCUAGAGACCUUGACUAAAACUCGGCACAACCCCUUCUCUUUAAACGAACUCUUGACUGCCUACAGUGUUAGAAAAUCAGGCAAGGGUUUUAUAACUUUAGGGCUAAGGCUCCCUUCCCCCCCUUUGAUAGAAGGUACAAUUGCAUAUGAUUCCAUAUGGAAGACUAGGUAUUUCUUCGUAGUGAAAGAUUCGCUGGGCGAAGUUGGGAGCCCUCUAGUUGGGGGUUGGUCUACUAAAGGUCUUGGCCCCAUUAUUUCCCAGAUACUUGAGCAAGCUGAGAGACUACCAGAACUGCUUACUUUCCCCGUUGAGGAAUGCACUUUCACAGCUCCUACCCCUAGACUCUAAAGCUUCUUCUCGCACCAACUCGAUGUCGACAGCUCCAGCAAGAUCUAGCAACUUAUCCGACGAGGACGCCAUGGACAGGCUAAAGAAUAGGAAGAGAUCAGCCGCCUCUUCUGGGCAUUCUCAGGUUGAGAGGGUUUCUCGCAAGCAUCUACGCUCAUCUGCCCUCCCAGCUACAAUUGACUGACUCUCCUAAAGACGAGGUCCUUGUGAGUUUUCCUGCAGACUUCCUAGCUGAGGAAGGCCUGGAAGGUGGGAUCUGGCCUGCAGCUGACAAGCUCGUGUUUCCAACUGCACAAAAGAGGUUAAAAGGACAGGACCUUGAGGUCGUCUUGAACCAUGCGGUUCAGCUAUCACUGCAGAUUUCUCAAGUUGGACUCUAUGGCUGCAUUGGAGGCUCUGGCUACAGGUAGCAAGGCAAACGACUCAGAGCAAUCUACAGCUGAAUCUCCACCUUCUCUUAACCAGCUAGAGGGCGCUGCUCCGAGUGGCAAGGACAAAAUUGUUGGCGAUGACGCCAGCAUAGCUUCUUAAUUUCUUCAGCUCUUUAUCAGCUUUCUUUCUGGAACAAUUUAAUUUUAAUUAGCUUUGGUACUUUUACCAUUGUCCAUAGGGGUAAUGUGUUUUUGUAAGAACAUAUUUACUUUUAGCUAUUUAAUCGUUUGGACUUAUGCUUUUGCCUUUU